rnacentral:lncRNA from 1 species
ACUGCAUCCCCUAGCGGCGCCCGGGUGGCUGCAGCCGCUGGCCCGAAAAUGCUGCUCGGGCGAGCAGGGGUCAGGCGGGAAAAGAAGACUCCAAAUCCACUCUCUGCUCGCCCCCAGGGCAAUGCUGCCAGGAGAGGGAGUGGGUUCCCCCGCAGGCUAUCCCACCGAUGGGGCUGAGAGCUUAAUUUGGGGUUUUAUUUGAAUUGGAGACAUUGUUCCCUCUUCGCUCCUCUACCCCAUAAAAUUCCCUACAAAUGCAAAAAUUCGAGAUAGAAGAAGCCGUCCCUGAAAGUAAGUUCUGAAGGAUUCCUUUCAUGCGGUGAAGGAACAACAACAAUAUUCAACUUCACCUUGGUGUGUGAGGGUCGUCGUGUUUUAAAACACUAUCCCUGUAGAAAGAUUAGUGAAAUGUAUUGGAAGAAGUAGUGGAAACGUGAAUCUUCCUGGUCUCGCGUUUGGAUCUUCUUUGGAGUCCUCACCUUCUUAAAUCUGAUGUUUGUUUGAAAUCAGGGCUGAAUUUCCAUAUAUAGGACAGAAAGAAAGAACCCCAAUUUUUUAAAGAAAGCUCCCCCCCCCCCCGCCACGUUUCUCCUGAGCCCACUUGGUCUCCCGUUAUUAGGCGGCCCAGUUAAGAGGCAUCGAUUUUCCUUUCAUUCUCUGACCACUCGUCUCUCCUGGGCCAGCCAGGCUGCCCGCAUCUUCUCCUGCUCACAGCGCUCUCUAAACCUUUUAAUUAUUUAGUUGCUGUCUAACAUUCACCGGAAACCUCUCCAUAAACAAGGAGAAACGAAUGCACACGCAUUUUUGCUAAGAAGCCCGGGAUUAAGAUUUAAGGAUACAAGCUGAAAGAAAAAAUGAAAAAUGCUUCUCCGCGCGUCAAUCGAGGGGUGGAUGCGCCACGCAGCGUGAGCCCAGCUCACAGCCACGCGUAAGACCAAAAGCUGCCAUGGGUUCUGCGCGCGGAGACCUCAGAGCCGAAGAGAGAAGUCCCCGCGUCAGAAACGCUGCGGAUGCCAGGUCUUGAAAAUGCUGACUUCUGAGGCUAAGAAUUAUUUCAAAGACAAAAAGAAAAGACUGGAGCAGCCGGCGGAGCUCGGGUGGAGGAAAGCGAGGAGGCGACCAGGAGGAUGCCGCCGCCGCCGCCGCAGGGCCCGGGGCUUCUGCAGGGCGCAAGGCCUCCCUCACCAGGGUAAGGGGCUGGCGAUCAACCUGGACGCCUGGGACCUUGGGAGCAAGCAUCCCGCAGCCGAGCAGGCGACGGCGCGGCCACCGCCUAGAGAGGAGCCGGGGCCCGGGGCGGCGUGCGGGUCGGCAGCAGCCGGCUUGGCCUAUCCGAAACCCCAGGCCUGGAAGCGGCUGCUUUAGGCGUCAAGUUGAGCGGGGUAUGUGUGUCCUCUUGGGAAAAAGGCAGAAGAAAGAAGCGGAGCCGAGCCGAGCCGCCGAGUCCCUCCCCCCGGAGCCCCGGAGCCCCGGCGCCUGCCUGGGCGGUCCCGGCCGCGCAGACAGAAAAGAAGCCGGGAAUCUGCGGGGCUGGGGGGCGGGGAGCGACACCAAAGGCCAGAAACUGCAGCACGGCCCGAGGCCCUGGCGAGCUGGGCCUGGGGGAGGAGAAGUCCCUUCCCAUUCCAGCUCGAUCAAUCUUGCUGGGCUGCGAUC